GUGAAAUGAUGAUUCAGUUUAUCCAUUCGCUGAGUAUGCUGCAUUGACCUUCUUCCAAGCCUCAGUUCCUGUUCUAGGAACUUUGGGGCUAUGUAGCCUCCAAAUGCCCUGCAGUCUGCAAUGUUCUGUUGUAGACUGCUUGUGUGUUGGUAGCCUACUGGUAAGAAUGUUUGAUGUCAGCAGGGAUGGGUCCCUCUGGGUCCUAUCUCACCAAGAUGAGUGGUGCAAAUCUGAUCAC